rnacentral:lncRNA from 1 species
ACGGUGGCAGUAAUUUGUGUCGCUACAUUGAUACAAUGCUAAAUGCAUUACCGUCGGCAGACAUCGUGAGAUGGGUUCCACCGUUUUUUUUUUCCCCACCUGCACU